rnacentral:misc_RNA from 1 species
GAAACCGAUGACAAUCAUCCUCCUGGUUAUCUAUUUUCUUCCUGCCACAUGCGCUAAAACCAGCAAUAUUACCAGAACACAAGAAAGACAAGACUUGGUGACUUUGCGGGUAAUCACAUUCACACGUUUCUUUUACCUUCCCGGCAUAUGCACACAUCUUACAUGAAAUGACGGUUGGUUAAUUUCUAGUAGUGUAUGUACCUGAAGCUGCUGCUAGGGUUGCAUAUAUACUAUACUCCACCGAAAAAUAAGAGCAAGCCCUCUACAAUUUCUUUAACGAGAAUUGAGAACCUUUAGCAUUCGAACAACUUCUUGAAGCCGAAAUAAAGAUUGCAUUACUGAAAACAAGCAUAUAAAAUAAUAUAUGGAUUAAUCUGAAUAUGCUUUCUGAGAUUUUCGGCCCACCAGAGCGCCAUAAGGUUGGAGAUACGCCUUGGAAAUCUGAAAAUUGCCGGUUUCUUCCACUGUUUCUUCGUUCUUUCUCUUUCUUUCUCUUUUUCUUUUUGUAUUAUAUCACCUAAUA